rnacentral:ncRNA from 1 species
AGCGAUUGUUUACCAAAAACAUAGGUCUCCACAAAGUCAUAAGACCAUGUAUGUGGGUUGACGCGUGCCAAGUGCUAGAAGGUCAAGGAAGUUGAUGAAUUGAUGACACGGAAGCCUGCGAUCGAAGCCCGGUGAACGGUUGGGUAACUAUAACGGUCCUAAGGUAGCGAAAUUCCUUGUCGGCCCUAUAUUUACAUAGCCGGGAAGGGCUCCGACAAUCAUGCGUGUCUGGCGGAGCGCCU